UACGUAGGAUGCUAGCGUUGUCCGGAAUUAUUGGGCGUAAAGAGCUCGUAGGCGGUCUGUCGCGUCUGCUGUGAAAACUCGGGGCUUAACCCCGAGCCUGCAGUGGAUACGGGCAGACUAGAGGUAGGUAGGGGAGAAUGGAAUUCCCGGUGUAGCGGUGAAAUGCGCAGAUAUCGGGAGGAACACCGGUGGCGAAGGCGGUUCUCUGGGCCUUACCUGACGCUGAGGAGCGAAAGCGUGGGGAGCGAACAGG
rnacentral:rRNA from 1 species